rnacentral:lncRNA from 1 species
UUAUACGAUUUUAUCGGGUGGGUCUACGUUAUUUCUGUGGAAUUUAAGAGCAACAUUAUCAAGACUCCUCCUCUGGACCGCCCAACUCAUUAAAAAAAAAAAACAACUUUGCGAUUUUCAUUAAAAUUCCUUCUUUGAUUAAUUUCUUAACAAGAAGAAAAGGACAAAAGGGUCCAGGGAGGUGAGAGGGUACCUGCUGGAGAGAGGUGGUGGGUAGCUGGAAGCGGCUGGCUAGGAGGCGGGGCGUGGGGCGUGGGGCGGUGGAACUCCUGUGCUGCGGCAUUCACGUGAUCCGCCCGGGCGCAGAUGUGGGCACCGGUCCGAGUGCCCGCCCUCUGUCCCCGCGGCUGGGUCCCGUCUGCUCCAGUUCCUGGGCUCCUAAUUCUUGGUCCAGCUUCCUCCAGGUCUGCGCGUCUGUUGUUCCCAGCGCUCUGCGAAGCCUGAAAAAGAGGAGCAACCUGUCCAGAAUCCCCGCAGGGCACGA